rnacentral:rRNA from 1 species
UGCAGAAUCCCGUGAACCAUCGAGUCUUUGAACGCAAGUUGCGCCCAAAGCCAUUAGGUUGAGGGCACGCCUGCCUGGGUGUCACAC